AUGGAAGACCUCGGUGAAGCUGCGUAUAUAUUGGGCAUCAAGAUCUAUAGAGAUAGAUCAAGACGCUUAAUUGGACUUUCACAAAGCACAUACCUUGACAAAGUUUUGAAGAAGUUCAAAAUGGAUCAAGCAAAGAAAGGAUUCUUGCUUGUGCUACAAGGUGUGAAGUUGAGUAAGACUCAAUGCCCAACCACUGCAGAAGAUAGAGAGAAGAUGAAAGAUGUUCCCUAUGCUUCAGCCAUAGGCUCUAUCAUGUAUGCAAUGCUGUGUACCAGACCUGAUGUGUGCCUUGCUAUAAGUCUGGUAGGAAGGUACCAAACUAAUCCAGGAGUGGAUCACUGGACAGCGGUCAAGAACAUCCUGAAAUACCUGAAAAGGACUAAGGAUAUGUUUCUCGUUUAUGGAGGUGACAAAGAGCUCAUCGUAAAUGGUUACGUUGAUGCAAGCUUUGACACUGAUCCGGACGAUUCUAAAUCGCAAACUGGAUACGUGUUUACAUUGAACGGUGGAGCUGUCAGCUGGUGCAGUUCUAAACAAAGCGUCGUGGCGGGAUCUACGUGUGAAGCGGAGUACAUAGCUGCUUCGGAAGCAGCAAAUGAAGGAGUCUAG
rnacentral:rRNA from 1 species